AUUGAAACACUGGUUUUCAUACAAUCACCAAAGUUAAGCACCAUUUAGCCUGGUCAGUACCUAGAUGGGUGACUGUUUGGGAAUACUAGGUGCUCCAA